AUUGAACGCUGGCGGCAGGCCUAACCCAUGCAAGUCGAACGAGGGGCGGAGGGGUGAGUAAUGUCUGGGAAACUGCCCGAUGGAGGGGGAUAACUAAUGGAAAGAGUAGAUAAUACCGCAUAACCGCAGAAGUGCCCAGAUGGGCUUAGCUAGGAGGUGGGGUAAAGGCUCACCUAGGCCACGAUCCCUAGCUGGUCUGAGAGGAUGACCAGCAACACUGGAAUUGAGACACGGUCCAGACUCCUACGGGAGGCAGCAGUGGGGAAUAUUGCACAAUGGGCGCAAGCCUGAUGCAGCCAUGCCGCGUGUAUGAAGAAGGCCUUCGGGUUGUAAAGUACUUUCAGCGAGGAGGCGUUACUCGCAGAAGAAGCACCGGCUAACUCCGUGCCAGCCGCCGCGGUAAUUC
rnacentral:rRNA from 1 species